rnacentral:rRNA from 1 species
AAGCGUGGGUAGCGAACAGGAUUAGAUACCCUGGUAGUCCACGCCGUAAACGAUGACAACUAGCUGUUAGGAGACUAUGUCUUUUAGUGGCGCAGCUAACGUUUUAAGUUGUCCGCCUGGGGAGUACGGCCGCAAGGCUAAAACUCAAAUGAAUUGACGGGGACCCGCACAAGCAGUGGAUCAUGUGGUUUAAUUCGAUGCAACGCGAAAAACCUUACCUACUCUUGACAUACUUGGAAGCUCUUGUAAUGAGAGUGUGCUUUUAAGAACCAAGAUACAGGUGCUGCAUGGCUGUCGUCAGCUCGUGUCGUGAGAUGUUCCGUUAAGUCGGAUAACGAGCGCAACCCUUACCCUUAUUUGCCAGCGAUUCGGUCGGGAACUAUAAGGGGACUGCCGGUGAUAAACCGGAGGAAGGUGAGGACGACGUCAAGUCAUCAUGGCCCUUACGAGUAGGGCUACACACGUGAUACAAUGGGAGAGACAGACGGACGCUAAGCCGCGAGGUGGUGCUAAUCCUAGAAACUCUCUCGUAGUCCGGAUUGGAGUCUGCAACUCGACUCCAUGAAGUUGGAAUUGCUAGUAAUCGCGGAUCAGCAUGCCGCGGUGAAUACGUUCAGAUCGGAAGAGCGUCGUGUAGGGAAAGAGUGUAGAUCU